GCUCCCCUGGCGGGUCGGAGCGCGAGCGCGGCUGCAGUAGGCGGCUCGUGCCGCAGGGCUGCUCCCGUUGACCGCAGUGGCUCCUGGUUUGCAGUUUUGCACCUGUUGCAGAAGGCAGGGGGUUGGACUAGAUGACCUCCUGAGGUCUCUUCCAGCCCUCAUCUUCCCCCCCACCCUUUAGCCUUUUCAUAGAAGGAGAACAUAAAUGUGAAGUGGCCCAGUGGUCACAGCUGUUCGUAAUUUGCUUGAGACAGUUUGACGAACCCUCUUUCUAGUCAUACUUUUAACUAUUCGUUAGCUAACUUCUUGUGAGUAUCAUUCUCAAAAAGGUCUUCCGAAGGAUUCGGCUGUGAUGAAAGCAGGGAGUUCGUGCACCAGAUCAGAAAAGGAACGAGAAGCCAGAAUUUCGAUCAGGCAGCCCUCAUCUGUCCCGGCACCCUAAACGCAGAACAGAGAAUCAGGAUGAAAGCGGCUUUCAAUCUACCAGCAAACAGAGGCACCGUGAUAGCAACACAAGAUGGAGAAUCAACUCUCUUGAGUAAUAGUCCAGGAUCCGAUGGGCACACCCCCAUCUGGGUUCCAUAGUUAUUGCAGACAUAUACAAUAUUGACCACGACAGCUUGAAAGGAAAAGUUAACUGUGAUGAUAAGGCCUUAACUGGAGUACUGCGUCUAGUUCUGGGCUCCACAUUUCGAGAAAGAUGUGGACAAACUGGAGAAAGUCCAAGGACGGCAACAGAAUUGAUUACAGGUCAGGAAAACAUGACCGAUGAGGAAAGAUUGACAAAACUGGGUUUGUUUAGUCUGCAGAAGAGAAGACUUGGUGGACUUAUGAUAACAGUUUUCAGUAACGUCUCACGUUCAUCUGGCAAGACAUCUCUCCACAGAAGUGGGUCCAAUAAAAGAAUGCUGAGCUGGCUGGAAAGUUUGAUCAUCAACAACGCAGCAAUAACGCUUCUCACGUCUCUAGCGCUUUUCAUCUGAGGACCUCAAAGUGCUUUACAAGUGUUAAUGAAGGAUUGCUAAUCAGGCAAUUUAUAUGAGCAAGAGUUGCAAGAUCUGCCUCAACUGAGGUAGAUAUGCAUGUGGGGUAGGUAUUCAGAUGGGGAAGCCGGGUGGGCAAGUCAAUAAACUCCCCCGGAGGCUCCUCAGACCCUCCUCUUCCUUUCCAGCAAAGGAACAUUUGAAAAGGAUACAUAGCAUCACUAAUGGGCCACCUACCUCAACGUGCUGGCUCCUGAUUCAGUGCAGCAUAAUAUCACCACACAGAGGAGGCAGGUGCCCUUUAAAAUGCCACCAUCGUGGGGUGGAGUUACACUGUGUGUGCAAAACACACCCCGCAGAUCCUGACACCAGCAGAGCGACAACAGCACUGAUCCAGCUUAGAGCUAUGUCCUUAUAUACCCAUAAUGAAAAUCUAGUGUCGUGCAACCAGGCGAUCAGGCCCCACACCUCGGGCAUGGGCUCCAGGUUGGUUUGCUCCACCCCAAACUGGUCAGGGAAGCUGCGGUUAGGUUCUUCCUGUGGCCACCUUGGUCCGCCUGGACACAGUCGCUCUUGUGGGCCUACUCAAAGCCAUUAUUGCCAGGGGAUGUUGUGAAAGCCUAAACUAUACUAGGGUUCAGAAGAGAACAUAGAUAAAUUAUGGAGGAUAGGUCCAUCAAUGGCUAUUAGCCUGGAUGGGCAGGGAUGCAACCCCAUGCUCUGGGUGUCCCUAGUCUCUGACUGCCAGAAGCUGGGAGUGGACGACAGGGGAUGGAUCACUUGAUGAUUACCUGUUUUGUUAAUUCCCUCUGGGGCACCUGGCGUUGGCCACUGUCGGAAGACAGGAUACUGGGCUAGAUAGACCUUUGGUCUGACCCAGUAUGGCUGUUCUUAAGUUCGUAUGUUUUGUGUUCCUGUGAUAUACAGUGUUGGCAACUCUCAGGAAUUUAUCACAGGUCUUGCAAUAUUUUCUCAAAGCCCCAGCUCCUGGAAUCAUGUGAAAACUAAGAAUUGCAGCUUACAUUUAAAAAAAAAUAUAUUUCUAGCCCUCAUUAUAGUGAAGAAAAUUUUGUUAUUAUUUAUAUUGUGGUAGCACCUAGGAGCCCCAGUCAUGGAAUGGGACCCAAUUGUGCUCGGUGCAGUACAAACACAGAAAACCCCCCCCCCCCCAAUUGUGCUCUAAAGAAUUUAGCUUGAAAACAUGACCCCUCUGACACCAAAGAGGUGAAGAAAAAGAGUUUCUAUUAUGUGUAAAUUCUCACAGUUUUUAAGCCAAUCUCGUGGCGUUUUGUGCCUGACUCAAAUGUUGACACUGGGCGUUGGCACUAGUGGAUUUAGUAAUGCUGAGUAACCUUGUACAGUGGGACAAAUUCUAGUCUCAUUUACACUAGGGCAACUCCAGAAUCCCCAUGAGCACUCUGAUGUCUAUUGCAGAUGAACCUUUCAUAUUCACCAGUGGUGAUCGAUCAUGCAUUUACAUGGUUCAGACUGACCAAGAGCUCCAUUUAUGCGCCUAUUAACUGAAAUGCUUAGCUUACCGGUGUUGGGAUCCUACAGGAUCUGAGUUUCAUGUUGCUCACACUGGGUAAAGGAGGAGUAACUCCACAGAAGUCAUUAAGCCAGCAUAAAAUAUAUGUGAGAAGAGAAGCAGGCCCUUGGCAUCUGUAGGUCCAGUUUGUGUGAUAUCCUUACCCAUCUCAUGUGGUACCAUAUUUUCAUUGGCUUUGGUGGCACGACUUGUGACAUAUGAGACUAUUCAGUGUAAGGAUGGCCAAAUCUGGCACUCUGUCAGUGUAUACUUAAAUAUUUUGGAGAGGCAGAGUAGCCCAGUAGCUAACCCAGCACACCAGAGUUGGGUCUGGAGACUUGACUUCUAGUGCUGGCUCGAUCACUAACUCACUGUGUGAUCGUGGGCAAAUCACUUCCCCUCCCCAUGCCUCAGUUUCCCCACCUGUACAAUGGGGAUAAAGACCUUUGUGAAAUACGUUGAGGUCUACGGAUGAGACGUGCUAAGUACAAUUAUGAAUAUUUUAUUUGGUUAUCCUGUAGAUCCAAUUUAACAAUCAUAACUUUCAAAAAAUGCGUCCAAGGUUGAGAAAAACAGUGAGGCACCCUCACAAAAUGCCACAAAACUUUUCGUAGGCAGUACUUGAAGCCCAGGUCGAAAAGCCCUGUUCAAACGAGGUAAGAGAAAGGAAAAGACGGUGCCAAAGACCGUAGGGGCUUAAUCACUCUUGCCUGCAUGUUGCUUGCAAACAUAUCUGAUUUAACAUUUUGUUUACACACCUGUAUUUCCAGUAAACAUCUCUCCUUUAAAACAAAACCUGGAGGCACACAUAUAUGUCUGCUGGAAAUGCUCCCAGUUACACGCAGAAUUUUCCAUCAAAUCAGCCAAAUAAGAGUGUGGUAGAGACAGUCACCUGCAUUCUGGAUUAUUGUCACAGAUUAUCUGCAUUACAGCAACUCCCAAAGGCUCCAAUCAAGGUCAAGGCCCCAGCAGCCGAAGAGGGGUUUAAAUCCCUUCUUCUCGUCAGGCAGAUGGGGCUGGGGGGGGAGGUGGUCUUAAACAGGGAUCUCCCACUACCCAGGUUAGAGUCAUUCUAACUCAUUUUCUGUCCCAGUGAGUAUUUAGCUAUUCAAUGAUUUAGUUCAAGUUGAACAACUCCAGCAGGAGAGAUGGAGGGAACCCCACUCAGAAUAUCCCAUAGCCCGGGAAUUGGAGCACUAGCAGAGAGGUUGGAGAUACCUGUUCAAAUCCCUUCUCCUGUUCAGACAGAGGGGGGACGUGAACUGGUGGUCUCUAACCAGUAGGCUAAAGGUUCCCUUGACUUGCAUAGAUCUUAGGGGCCUCUGCACACGCCUACCAGCUCGGGCCCUACGGGUGACUGAGCGCCGACCUUCCCCCAGGUCCUGGCUUGCUAUGGGGCUGAGGUGGGAGAAAGGCUCCUGGGUGCCUAGAAGGAGGCAGCGGUGCACUCAGAGGCAGAAAUAUAGGAACCAAGGGUGCUUCUGCUGAGCAGCAGCCGAGUGGGAGUUCUAUGGAGGGCAAAGGCACCUAAAAAUGGGACUUAGGCACCUAAAUCUGGGGGGGGUCAGGCACCUAAGCACCUUUUUGUGGAUAGGGGCAUUGUGCUUGGUGCUGUACAUAUGUGGCCCACUGUUCAGCGUGCGCUGUACGUCUGCCUCUAGUAGCUCAUCCACAGGGGAUGUGAGUCGGCUACAGUUACCAGCGAAGGCCCCGAUCCUGCAAAGCUUUUCGCUUUGUGCUUAACUUUACACACUGUGAGUGGUCCCAUAUGAGCUAAUGGGACACCUCAGGGUGCAUCCAACCCACUUUCCAGAAAAGUCAAACGAGAGACUGUCACUGAUCUUGGUGGAGCUCGAUUAGGCCUGGUGUGAAAAAUUAAACUCAUGAAGGUAGGACAAGAAGGAAUGAGCGUAAUCUGCAGCAAAGGAGAUUUCAGUUAGAUAUUAGGAAAAACUUUAUAACUCUAGGCAUAGUUAAGCUCUGGAAUAGGUUUCCAAGGGAGGUUGUGGAAUCCCCGUCACUGGAAGUUUUGAAGAACAGGUUGGACAAAGACCCAUCAAGGAUGGUCUAGGUUUACUUGCUCCUGCCUCAGCCCAGGUGGCUGGAUUUGAUGACCUCUCAAAGUCAGUUCCAGCUCUACAUUUCUAUGCUUUUUUGUCUUUGCAAGUUUUAGGGCCUGAUCCAAUGCCCAUGAAAGUCAAUGGAAGCCUCUCUCCAGUUUUGGUUUAACUGGUCAGGAAACAGAAUUUCUGUUUUGUGGGAAAGUCCAACAUUUUGGGGAAGAAAACUGUUUUGACUCAGAAUGAAAAGGCAAAAUUUUGAAACUUCCUGCGGAAUAAAAAUUCUGAAAAAUAUUGCUUUGAUACUGUUGAAAUAUUUCAUUUCUAUAUUGUUGUUUUAAUUCAACUUUUAUAUUAUAUUCAAAUAUUCGUUGUGUAUUAGAUAUUUGUAUGUGUUAUAUUAAAUAUUCGAAUAUAAUAUAAAAGUCAAAACAAAAAGAUUAUUAACAAAGCUGCAGAUUGCAAACACCUCAAGGACAAUGAAAUCUGGGCGAUGGGAGUAUUAGGAAAUAAUUACAUUAAGCAGAAAAUCCAUUAAAACAACAAAACCAAAAAACUGCCCCAUCCCAGCCUGCAGAACGAGACUUGCGCACAGAGAGGAAUAGGUUAUUAAUGUAUUGUUGUUAUUUACGUCACAAUUGCACCUAAAGCCUCCAGCCAAGAUAGGGGCCUAUUGUAGUAGGUGCGGUAAAAUCACAUAGUGAGAGACACCCUCUGCCCUCAAGGAGCUUUCAGUGUAAAUAGACAAGGCAAACAAAGGGCGGGAGACAGGAAACACAGACACUGUGAGGGGAGAUGGUUUGCUCAGGAUUACACAGCAAGUUACCAAUAAAAAGUGGGAAAAGAAUUAAGGUCCAGCGCCCACUCCACUGUUCAAAACUCUAUAAAGCUACAGAGUAGCAGGAAGCAGUGGUGGAUUUUGGGAGCGCUGUGGAGAGCAGCGGACCCUCCACCCAGGGCCAGCCCUAGACCAAAUGGCACCCCCCCCGCAUUUGUUCAACUUUUGAAUAGCUUAUUUUUUUAUUGCAUUUGUAGCUCAUUUCGCAACUUGGAUGUAUGAUUUGCAUGCGUGAUUUAUCCCUGUCAUAUAAGCCGAUCAAUUUGCACGCUAGGAAAUGUAAAUCCGUAUUUAUUGGUGCCAUAUAUAAACAAAUAAAAAAAUUCGUUUC